rnacentral:rRNA from 1 species
ACGGAUAUUAGCUUGCUAAUAUUGUCAGCUAAGUGGCGCACGGGUGAGUAAUAUAUAGUUAAUCUGCCCCAAAGAAGAGAAUAAUUGUUGGAAACGACUUGUAACGCUCUAUAUGCCUUUAUUACAUAAGUAAGCAAGGGAAACAUUUAUGGCUUUGGGAUGAGACUGUACGGUAUCAGCUAGUUGGUGAGGUAAUGGCUCACCAAGGCAAUGACAUCUAACUGGUUUGAGAGGAUGAUCAGUCACACUGGAACUGAGACACGGUCCAGACUCCUACGGGAGGCAGCAGUGGGGAAUAUUGCACAAUGGAGGAAACUCUGAUGCAGCAACGCCGCGUGGAGGAUGACACAUUUCGGUGCGUAAACUCCUUUUAUAUGAGAAGAUAAUGACGGUAUCAUAUGAAUAAGCACCGGCUAACUCCGUGCCAGCAGCCGCGGUAAUACGGGGGGUGCAAGCGUUACUCGGAAUCACUGGGCGUAAAGAGCAUGUAGGCUGGUUUGUAAGUUGGAAGUGAAAUCCUAUGGCUUAACCAUAGAACUGCUUCCAAAACUGCAGACCUAGAAUAUGGGAGAGGUAGAUGGAAUUUCUGGUGUAGGGGUAAAAUCCGUAGAGAUCA